CACACCCAGCCUGACUUGGCCUUGUUUCUCAUCUUUCUAGCCUUGCUUCUGUGUCCAGGUGUGCCAACAGCUGCAGUGCAGCCACGACGCUGCGCUGUGCUGCCUGGUGCCCCUUUGCCAGUGCCCACCCACUGGGAGGGGUUGGUUGCGUGCUGGGAACCUUAAGGACCAGGUCCUUUCUGGAAGAUUCCCUGGGUUACUGAUGAUUCUGUGAUGGUUUCCUGUUUUGUGCAAAUGCAUUUCGGCUACAGUGUGAGGUGUUGGAAGUGUCCUUGUUGUGUGUCUGGGUUCCUGUUUUAGCUACUUCUAGCUUGCAGGUUACUGCUGCCUUGACCAUUGUGUCGCUGAAGCAAACCGCUGAACUAUGGCAAGCAGCGGUGAGUUUUAGGGAGUCGCACGGGCCGUAAUAAGCCUCUCCGUCUGGACAGGACUUCCUUGACGUGGCUCUGCCAUGACCUGACUUAGUAGUGCGUGUCCUGGAUGUUCAACCAUAGAGAUGCUACAGACAGUGUAUUGUUUGUGACUAUUUUGUUCUUUUAAAAUUGGAAUUGGGCUCCCCCGUUGUAUAUUCUUUUUCUUAAAUUUAACCUAAUUUUGUAUUCAUUUUGGAAAGAAAACAAAUUCUGCUGUUUUAAUAACAUAAGGAAAAUGUAACAUGAGCUAGGCUAGAGUCAGGAAGAUGACCAGCCUCGGGACAUGCUAUAGGGACACUGAGACAUGCUGUAGGGACGCUGGGACAGGCUGUAGGGACACUGGGCCAGGCUCUCGCAACACUGGGACAGGCUGUAAGGACACUAGGACAGGCUGUAGGGACACUGGGACAGGCUGUAAGGACACUAGGACAGGCUGUUGUAGGGACACUGGGACAUGCUGUAUGGACACUGGGAUAUGCAGUAGGAACACUGGGACAGGCUGUAGGGGCACUGGGACAGGCUGUAAGGACACUGGGACAGGCUGUCGGGAUACUGGGAGAGGCUGUAUGGACACUGGGACAGGCUGUAGGGACACUGGGACAUGCUGUAGGGAUACUGGCACAUGCUGUAGGGACACUGGAUUUUUGUGAGGCCUGGACUGUACUUCGUAUUGGUGGCCUUAAUAUGGGAAGAGCAAAAGGCACCUCACUUGGGUAAAGUUCCCAAAAAUGUGAUCAUGUGAUCAUCACCAGGAUCAUGCCCAGGCCAUUUUGAGCGCUGGACCUCCAACAUCCACAUGUUGGAACAUCUGUGUGAUGGCCUUCACUGAAAUAUUGUUCCUGCUCAGUUUCUACACAGACUGAACGUGCGCGUUGGAAGGGCACUGUCCUGGUGCAUUUGUCUGAGAAGCUGUUCCAUCAAAAUGGAAUUCCCCGGAGAGAGACAGAAACACUUAGGCUGCAGAGGCAAACAGGUUUAUUCCCUAGGGCUGACUCCCAUGGGGAUUGCUCCAUCCCAGAGUAUGCUGUGGAGAAAGGAGUGUGA